rnacentral:snoRNA from 1 species
GGAUCUCAUUCCUUGGAAAAUCUGAACAAAAUGAGUGAGAACUCACUAUUGUCUCCUCAUCGAAACUGAGGUCC